UUGUUUUCUUGGUAACUAAUUCAGUUCUAAGAGUUAUGAACUGUCUAUUAACAGCAAUUAAAAUUAUGUUUCAGUUCGUCAUAUAAUAAAGGAAGCAUCUGAUGCACUAAUUGAAAUUAAUUUUUGAACCGAUCAUUUCUAUUUGCACUGCCUAUUAUAAAAGUGUUUAAUUUGCAAUAAUAGUAAUGUAUCUCCAUAAAAGGUUCUCAGACAUCUAUUUCUGCUGCAGUCAGUACCUGUUUAUAUGUAAUUGUGUUAAUUUUUUUGUUCAGGAUGUGUGUGGAGAGAAUAUGACUGAGGAGCUGAAGUGUGCAAUGUUAAUACAACAGAGCCACAAGGGUCUGGACUCUCUACAGUGUCAGAGAGAGGGCAGCUCGAAUGCAUUAAAGACUGUAGAACAAGUGGACGGAAACCUAACAGAGGUUGAGAAACUGUCUGAGGCCCUGCAGACAAGCUGUACUCCAGAGGGUCAGACUGCUCUCUCUCCAGAAGCUCAACCGAUAUUUGGAAAGACACCAGCCCUGAGGAAGAUCUUGGAAGACGAGAGGACUAAAGAAGGGAACUCUGAUCUAGAUCAAUGUUCCAUUCAGUGCAUCGAGCCUCAGCAGCCUGGAGUGUCCACAGAGGAGCUCCAGUCAAUUCAGGUUAGUGUGGUGCGUCUUACACAGGAAGUGUUCGAAAAGAUUUUUUGGAGUGGUUUUGGUACAUUUAUAGAGUACAAUUAAGCAGUAUCAGUUCCUUUGAAUUGUUCCAAACUUUUGACUUUGUUCUGUAGAACACAAGUUAUUAUAUAUUUUUUUCAUGCAAUGUAUGUAAGUGUGGUCCAAAACAACAUUAUAUUCCACUGAUUUUUUAUUGAAUGUACUAAACAUUUUUCAGAACCUCUUUUGACAGAUGUAAGUGGGGUCCAAAACAACAUUAGAUUCCACUGAAUUUUUAUUGAAUGUACAAAAACUUUUUCAGAACCUCUUUUGACAGACGUACACUUCUUUUUUCUUUCUGGAUCUGGUUUUAGUGUCAGCAGGAGAAACAUCAUUGAGUGU
rnacentral:lncRNA from 1 species